rnacentral:tRNA from 4 species
GGGGGCUUAGCUCAGCUGGGAGAGCGCAUCGCUGGCAGCGAUGAGGUCAGGGGUUCGAGCCCCCUAGUCUCCA